UCCCCACAGGAAAGCGUGUGUGUGUGAUUGAUGCCGCUGUGUUGCUUGAAGCCGGCUGGCAGAACCUGGUCCAUGAGGUGUGGACUGCUGUCAUCCCAGAGACUGAGGUAUCUCGCCCCACCCCCCACACCAUCCCUACUGCAGAUCCUAUCCUGUGAGCUGGAAUUCUUCCUGACAAAUGUCUCGUCUGUGCUCAGGCUGUAAGACGCAUUGUGGAGAGGGAUGGCCUCAGUGAAGCCGCGGCUCAAAGCCGGCUGCAGAGCCAGAUGAGCGGGCAGCAGCUUGUGGAACAGAGCCACGUGGUGCUCAGCACCUUGUGGGAGCCGCAUAUCACCCAACGCCAGGUGGAGAAAGCCUGGGCCCUCUUGCAGAAGCGCAUUCCCAAGACUCAUCAGGCCCUCGACUGAAAAGUUCUCAGUGGGGCCAGACUGGCUCCUGGAGCUGACAAGCGACCCCGUGGUGAGGAGAAAUGGGGGCCUUGAUGCUCACCCUGGUUCAGGCCCAGAGGUCCAAGCUAUACUGUGCAGGACAUGGCCAGGCCUGGUGGACACAGGAAGCCUACCCAACACGCUGGUAUUUGGCCAACACUGAGGAUGUGGUUCAUGGGGGAGCAGUCCCCUCCCCACUCUUGCCCAUGGGUGACUCUUACCCACAGCUGACUAGGGCCAGCGCAAAUACUGGAACCUGUAACAGAAUUAAAGGUGAAUGUUCUGAGA
rnacentral:lncRNA from 1 species